AGGAAGGGGUGACUAGUGACAGAGUGAGGGGAUGACUGGUGACAGAGUGAGGGAGGGGGUGACUAGUGACAGUGAGGGAGGUGGUGACUGUCACUAGUCACCCCCUCCCUCACUCUGUCCCUAGUCACCCCUCCCUCUGUCACUAGUCACCCCCUUCCUCACUCUGUCACUAGUCACCACUUCCCUCCCUCACUCUGUCACUAGUCACCGCCUCCCUCACU